GAGCCUUGGUUGGUUGGCCUGUCAGUUGUGGACACUUAGGGCUGACAUUGUGGGAAGUUGGCAGCUGGGCAUGAAAUGGUCCUUGAAGGGAAUCUCACAUAGAAUCUAUGGACCAAGAAUCUGUCAGUUGGCUGAUGGCUUUGAUAACUGAAGAAUCCUGCCAAAGAUCCUCCAAUCCUGAGAGCAUAUGAAGACCAGAAGAAAAGCAUAGAAGGCUCUUACUCUACAGGAAAUAUGGCUGAAAAAACAACCUCCUCCUAAACCUGUGAUCAGCAACCUUGAUUCAAAGACCCGAUACCUGAAACCCAUACCCAAGGAUGGAAGGGACUGGUCCCCAACAGGCAUACAAGUUCCCUGGUGUACCAGAGAAUCACAUUGCAUAUUAGACUCAAUGUCAAUACACUGAGUAACCACAGCAACUGAAACAGUCGGAUAAACAAAUAAUAAAAAGCAACUGGUGGGACCAA